rnacentral:rRNA from 1 species
AUUGAACGCUGGCGGCAUGCUUUACACAUGCAAGUCGAACGGCAGCGCGGGCUACGGCCUGGCGGCGAGUGGCGAACGGGUGAGUAAUGCAUCGGAACGUGCCCAGUAGUGGGGGAUAGCCCGGCGAAAGCCGGAUUAAUACCGCAUACGACCUGAGGGUGAAAGCGGGGGACCGAAAGGCCUCGCGCUAUUGGAGCGGCCGAUGUCGGAUUAGCUAGUUGGUGGGGUAAAGGCUUACCAAGGCGACGAUCCGUAGCUGGUCUGAGAGGACGACCAGCCACACUGGGACUGAGACACGGCCCAGACUCCUACGGGAGGCAGCAGUGGGGAAUUUUGGACAAUGGGGGCAACCCUGAUCCAGCCAUGCCGCGUGCGGGAAGAAGGCCUUCGGGUUGUAAACCGCUUUUGUUCGGGAAGAAAUCCUCUGGGCUAAUACCCCGGGGGGAUGACGGUACCGGAAGAAUAAGCACCGGCUAACUACGUG